GCUAAGGGCUUUGGUACUUGGGGACCAUGCCUAGGGGGUGAGCCAGGGUCCCCAGAUCCUGGGGACCUAGUUCUAGGUUUGCCACCUUCACCUGCAUCAGGAAGGGACAGAGAAGCCUCCGGAAGACCCUUCCAGGACCCCUCCCCGAUUCCCUUCCUUCUCCAUCCAUUUUCCUUUCCCAUUUGUCUUUGUUCCUUUUACUUUCUCCCAGGUGGUCAGUGGUUUGGACAUUCACAAAGCAGUGUACCUCACUUCACAGUUUCUCCACAUCAAGGACUUGAUUGGACUUCCCAGGUGUGUCCUGAGUCUGCCCAUCUCUGGAGCGGCUGUGGUUCUGUCAACACGGGCACUGUUUAUAGUGGCAACGGCUGUGACCUUUCUGGCCAAGAAGAAAGCUGUGCUUGUGGAUUCAGGCGAGUCUCUGCGCACACGCCCAGGGCCUUAAACCGCGCUUCACCAAACCACGGAGGGAAACACAGCCGCUCCCGCAGAAGGCUCUGCCCUCUACACCAGGGCUUUGGGGGUUCCACGUCUUGCCCCCACUGCGUGAGACUCAAAAGCCAUCAGGCAUCAACCUGGGGCUCUUGCCUGAGAAGUUCCUUCCCCAGAGCCUCACUGAGCUGGCUCUCCCUCCAGCCCUAGGUCUGGAAGUAUCACCUCCUCUGGGAGGCCUUUGUGCCCCCGCAUCUAAAUGUCUCCAUCACCUCCCCGUUCUAUUCCUCUUCUCUGUCAAAGCACUCACCCCCUCGGAAAUGUUACCCUCUUUCCUUGUUUAUGGUCUGUCUUUGCCAUUAGCAGGUGAGAGACAGGGAACACGAUCCGUUCCUGCAUCCUCGGCUUCUGUGUGUCCUGCCUGGCAAGUGCCAAGUGUUUGGUUAAUGUCUGUCCCGUGGCAAGAUGCCUCAGACAGGGAUGCACAACCCGACACAGAGAAGGUCUCGACCAGCCCUCCUGCUCUCAGCCUGGCUCCCUCACCCUCAGCCUGGCUCCCUCGUCGGGCUCAACAGUGAUAUUUCCACGCCGCAAAUCAUCCAGGUCACUCUUCUGCUCUAAGAGCUUUGAUGGCUCCCGUUGCUCCUGGGCCAAGUCCGGAUGCCUUAGCGAGACUCGGCUGGCCCUGCAGGACUGGAGCCCUGUCUCCUCCCCUCCAGGCACAUCCAGAGUGAGUGUCCUUCGUGCUGUUCUCCUGCCUGAAAUCUCGCCCUCUCUCCUCUUCUCUACAUUCAGCUGAUGAACUUGAAUUCUCAUCCUUUGUCUGGUCUCCCCCUAAGGAUCACCACCUUCAGGAAGCCCUCCUGCCUCUCUUCCCGUUUCCCACCAAACCUGUAGUAAUUGUCCCUUCUCCUUCAACCUUGGCCUUAUCUGUAUUUGUAUUCACCCAUUGUUUAGUUUUUUUGUUUUUCACUUUUCCUUUUUUUGGCCCUCCCGUAGCAUACGGAGUCCCUGGGCCAGGAUCAGAUCCGAGCCGCAGUUGUAGCUCUAUCAGAUCCUUUAACCCACUGUGCCAGGCCAGGGAUUGAACCUGUGUCCUUGAUGCUGCAGCCAUGCUGAUGAUUCUUUUGUGCCACAGUGGGAACUCUACCUUUUUUUUUUGUUUUUUUGUUUUUUGUCUUUUUAGGGUGACACCCUGUGGCAUAUGGAG
rnacentral:lncRNA from 1 species